UACGUAGGGGGCAAGCGUUGUCCGGAAUUAUUGGGCGUAAAGCGCGCGCAGGCGGUCAUUUAAGUCUGGUGUAUAAUCCCAGGGCUCAACCUUGGGUCGCACUGGAAACUGGAUGACUUGAGUGCAGAAGAGGAGAGUGGAAUUCCACGUGUAGCGGUGAAAUGCGUAGAGAUGUGGAGGAACACCAGUGGCGAAGGCGACUCUCUGGGCUGUAACUGACGCUGAGGCGCGAAAGCGUGGGGAGCAAACAGG
rnacentral:rRNA from 1 species